AGGAUGAGUUCGCGUCUGAUUAGCUAGUUGGUGGUGUAACGGACCACCAAGGCGACGAUUGGUAGCCGAACUGAGAGGUUGAUCGGCCACAUUGGGACUGAGAUACGGCCCAGACUCCUACGGGAGGCAGCAGUGGGGAAUAUUGCGCAAUGGGGGAAACCCUGACGCAGCAACGCCGCGUGAAGGAUGAAGGUUUUCGGAUCGUAAACUUCUUUGAUGGGGGACGAAACAAAUGACGGUACCCCAAAAACAAGCCACGGCUAACUACGUGCCAGCAGCCGCGGUAAUACGUAGGUGGCGAGCGUUGUCCGGAAUUACUGGGUGUAAAGGGCGUGUAGGCGGGAAUGCAAGUCAGAUGUGAAAUGCCGAGGCUUAACCUCGGAGCUGCAUCUGAAACUGUGUUUCUUGAGUGUCGGAGAGGAAAGUGGAAUUCCUAGUGUAGCGGUGAAAUGCGUAGAUAUUAGGAGGAACACCAGUGGCGAAGGCGACUUUCUGGACUGUAACUGACGCUGAGGCGCGAAAGCGUGGGGAGCAAACAGGAUUAGAUACCCUGGUAGUCCACGCCGUAAACGAUGAUAACUAGCUGUCGGCGAUACACAGUCGGUGGCCAAGCGAAAGCGAUAAGUUAUCCACCUGGGGAGUACGACCGCAAGGUUGAAACUCAAAGGAAUUGACGGGGGCCCGCACAAGCGGAGGAACAUGUGGUUUAAUUCGAUGAUACGCGAGGAACCUUACCCGGGCUCGAACGGUGCAGGAAUAUGUCAGAGAUGUCAUACCAGCAAUAGUCUGUAUCGAGGUGCUGCAUGGUUGUCGUCAGCUCGUGCCGUGAGGUGUCGGCUUAAGUGCCAUAACGAGCGCAACCCUUGUCGUUAGUUACCAUCAAGUAAUGUUGGGGACUCUAGCGAGACUGCCACCGUAAGGUGUGAGGAAGGGGGGGAUGACGUCAAAUCAGCACGGCCCUUACGUCCGGGGCGACACACGUGUUACAAUGGCCGAUACAAAGGGCAGCUACUCCGCGAGGAGAUGCUAAUCUCUAAAGUCUAUCUCAGUUCGGAUUGGAGUCUGCAACUCGACUCCAUGAAGUUGGAUUCGCUAGUAAUCGCGCAUCAGCCAUGGCGCGGUGAAUACGUUCCCGGGCCUUGUACACACCGCCCGUC
rnacentral:rRNA from 1 species